rnacentral:rRNA from 1 species
UUAUAAGGGACAGCAGCAGCCGCGGUAAUACGAAGGGUGCAAGCGUUAAUCGGAAUUACUGGGCGUAAAGCGUGCGUAGGCGGUUUGUUAAGUCUGUUGUGAAAUCCCCGGGCUCAACCUGGGAAUGGCAAUGGAUACUGGCAAGCUAGAGUGUGUCAGAGGAUGGUGGAAUUCCCGGUGUAGCGGUGAAAUGCGUAGAGAUCGGGAGGAACAUCAGUGGCGAAGGCGGCCAUCUGGGACAACACUGACGCUGAGGCACGAAAGCGUGGGGAGCAAACAGGAUUAGAUACCCGAGUAGUCCCUGUCUCUUAUAC